GGCUGCACCUUCUCCUUCUCGAUCCUUUUGCUUCUCUUCUUCUUCUUCUUCCUCUUCCUUUGCCUGCUUCCAUAUAUCUUCGCAGUCUCUUCCUCCUCCUCUUUCUCUCCCUUUUUAUCCUUCCUUGUGUUCUUUACCCUUUUUCAUUUUUUCUUCUACCGCUUAUUCAGAUUCUGUGCAGUUGUUCCCUUCUCAUCUUAUAGUCUUUUUCUGCUCUUUGUCGUGUUUUGCGCUGCUCUCCUAAUUCUUCCUCUCCUCGUUUUUCCUUCCACGCUUCUUCGCUAAUCUUCGCAGUCCGUUUUCAUCGUUUGCCGUUAACGUUGCUGCUUCUCCUCCCGGUUCCGAUCUCGCGAACUCGUCGAUUUGUUCCAACGCAAAAUCCAUCUCCAACGCGCUACAGAGGAGGCUCGCGUUACAUGCGUGCGCGCAGUUUCGCCGAUUGGUUUAGUAGUUUUUCGCGCCGAUCUGACGGGAGUACGAGGUUUAAUUGAAAUGUUAUUAUACAGAGGAAAGGAAAUGGAGAUUAUACGGAGAUUUGGAAAUUUUCGUGUUUUUGGUUUUAGAGAUGUUUAGGUUUUGCCUUAGAGAUGAGAAGAAAUUAGGGAAAUUACGGAUCGAUCGACAAACUUUUAACCGAAAUAUUAGAAUAAAUAGUAUUACUAAUUGGACGCGUUUUAAUUGAUUCUUAAUCUCAUACAGAAAACUAGGUGCAAAGUUGAAUGGAAUAAACGAGGAGAAGGAAACGUCGUUCGAAGUGGGAGGCGCCCGAUCAGCAACCAAUAGAAAGAGCCGCCACCCACGAAGCUAUAAAAAUUAAUUUAUCACAUGGAUCGCCGCCUACGCCAUUGCUCCGUUCGUGGACGCCUAGUUUCGCAGCAUCCCCCUAGAUAGCGCUACCUGUCGGGACUUCCCCGAGGGCACCACGAUACGGAGAUACUAAACAGCUAAUUACCGUAUGAGAUAUCAGGAUAGAGGACUAACUUACCAACCGUAGUAACAACAUCGAACAAGAAUUUCCAUAUCGUUGCACAGAUUACUCGAUGCACAGAUGAGGUACGAGAAUAAACGUAACAUUCAACGCUUUUUUGAGCCGCACGUAUCGGAGGUCAAUUGACCUCCCCCAUUUACCAUUUCGUCCGACGCCCGACGUUAUCGAUUUAGUAUUAGCGCGGACGACAUACAAAAUAGAUCCAUCACCCAAUGUACUUUUUUCAUCCACGGUUAGAGGGUCUCUAGAAUUCCUUUAUCAUCUUAGUGUCAUUUCCAAUGUUACCGAUUCAGAUACGAUAAGAUUACGGCGUUCGUAGUGAUUGAAAUUAAAACUAAAUUUUGACACGAAAUUACAAGUAGACUAGACGGCAGAUCAUAAUUGUAAACGAAAUAUACACACAGUGGCGGUCAAGAGUAACAAACUAUAAAAAAUUCAGUAUUAUCGCAUUCUGAAAAACUUGUUAAAUAUAUAAUUAACGUGGAUUUAAUUAUUUAAACUACAGUAUCAGAGACGCCCAGUGAUACAGGUCCUUUUAUACUCUGGUCUUCGCUAUAGGGGAGAUGCUAGCUUACGUGGUGACCCCUACUGAUAUCAGAGGUG
rnacentral:lncRNA from 1 species